UGACAUUGCAGUUUGGUUUGUGACCUGCCAGUAUAAAAGCUCUGGUGCAAGAGGUUUGUCCACACACAUCCGACAACAUGAAGGUUCAACUUCUCACGCUGCUGCUCCUGCUGUGCAGCACUCAGGUGCUCACACUCAGAUGCUACACCUGUGUAGGUGAAGAUGACGAGGACUGUAAGGUGGAGACAGAGUGCCCGGCAACAGCUCAGUACUGCAUGACCAUGCAAUACGGUGGAGAACUUUCUCGAACUUGUCAGGAUUAUUGUGCCGAAGAUGAUAACACAUAUUGCUGCCAAGAAGACCUCUGCGACCCAUGAGUCAUCCCUCAGCGCUGACUUUCGCUUUCUGAAAAAUGAAAUGAAUAUAUAAGACAAAUGUAUUACUUAAAUCUAAAUCAGAUCGAAGAUGAUUUUUAACUUUAUAGGAUUGUAAUGUGACUAUCCUGUCUUGCUUUUACUUUCAUUAAACUCUACAAAUAUUGAAUCA
rnacentral:lncRNA from 1 species